AUUGAACGCUGGCGGCAGGCCUAACACAUGCCAGUCGAGCGGAUGAAGGGAGCUUGCUCCUGGAUUCAGCGGCGGACGGGUGAGUAAUGCCUAGGAAUCUGCCUGGUAGUGGGGGAUAACGUCCGGAAACGGGCGCUAAUACCGCAUACGUCCUGAGGGAGAAAGUGGGGGAUCUUCGGACCUCACGCUAUCAGAUGAGCCUAGGUCGGAUUAGCUAGUUGGUGGGGUAAAGGCCUACCAAGGCGACGAUCCGUAACUGGUCUGAGAGGAUGAUCAGUCACACUGGAACUGAGACACGGUCCAGACUCCUACGGGAGGCAGCAGUGGGGAAUAUUGGACAUUGGGCGAAAGCCUGAUCCAGCCAUGCCGCGUGUGUGAAGAAGGUCUUCGGAUUGUAAAGCACUUUAAGUUGGGAGGAAGGGCAGUAAGUUAAUACCUUGCUGUUUUGACGUUACCAACAGAAUAAGCACCGGCUAACUUCGUG
rnacentral:rRNA from 1 species